UAGAGUUUGAUCCUGGCUCAGAACGAACGCUGGCGGCAGGCUUAACACAUGCAAGUCGAGCGCCCCGCAAGGGGAGCGGCAGACGGGUGAGUAACGCGUGGGAAUCUACCGUGCCCUACGGAAUAGCUCCGGGAAACUGGAAUUAAUACCGUAUACGCCCUACGGGGGAAAGAUUUAUCGGGGUAUGAUGAGCCCGCGUUGGAUUAGCUAGUUGGUGGGGUAAAGGCCUACCAAGGCGACGAUCCAUAGCUGGUCUGAGAGGAUGAUCAGCCACACUGGGACUGAGACACGGCCCAGACUCCUACGGGAGGCAGCAGUGGGGAAUCUUGCACAAUGGGCGAAAGCCUGAUGCAGCCAUGCCGCGUGAAUGAUGAAGGCCUUAGGGUUGUAAAAUUCUUUCACCGGAGAUGAUAAUGAC
rnacentral:rRNA from 1 species